GAUGAACGCUGGCGGCGUGCCUAAUACAUGCAAGUCGAGCGAACAGAUAAGGAGCUUGCUCCUUUGACGUUAGCGGCGGACGGGUGAGUAACACGUGGGUAACCUACCUAUAAGACUGGAAUAACUCCGGGAAACCGGGGCUAAUGCCGGAUAACAUUUAGAACCGCAUGGUUCUAAAGUGAAAGAUGGUUUUGCUAUCACUUAUAGAUGGACCCGCGCCGUAUUAGCUAGUUGGUAAGGUAACGGCUUACCAAGGCAACGAUACGUAGCCGACCUGAGAGGGGGUGCGGCCAAACGGGAACUGGAACCCGGUCCAAACCCCUAGGGGAGGGACCAGGAGGGAAUCUUCCGAAAUGGGCGAAAGCCUUACGGGGCAACGCCGGGGGGGUGAUGAAGGUUUUCGGAUUGUAAACCUCUUUUAUUAGGGAAAAAAAAAUGUGAAAGAAACUGGGCACGUUUUGACGGUACCUAUGCAAAAAGCCACGGCUAACUACGU
rnacentral:rRNA from 1 species